AUUGAACGCUGGCGGCAUGCCUUACACAUGCAAGUCGAACGGUAACGGGCCUUCGGGUGCCGACGAGUGGCGAACGGGUGCGUAAUACAUCGGAACGUGCCCGAUCGUGGGGGAUAACGAGGCGAAAGCUUUGCUAAUACCGCAUACGAUCUACGGAUGAAAGCAGGGGACCGCAAGGCCUUGCGCGGACGGAGCGGCCGAUGGCAGAUGAGGUAGUUGGUGGGAUAAAAGCUUACCAAGCCGACGAUCUGUAGCUGGUCUGAGAGGAUGAUCAGCCACACUGGGACUGAGACACGGCCCAGACUCCUACGGGAGGCAGCAGUGGGGAAUUUUGGACAAUGGGCGCAAGCCUGAUCCAGCCAUGCCGCGUGCAGGAUGAAGGCCUUCGGGUUGUAAACUGCUUUUGUACGGAACGAAAAGCCUUCUUUUAAUACAGGAGGGUCAUGACGGUACCGGAAGAAUAAGCACCGGCUAACUACGUG
rnacentral:rRNA from 1 species